UUUUUGGUAGACCACUAGCGAGGUAUAGAGUUCCUACGUGAUUUUUCGGCUGUAGGAACUUCAUACCGUGCUCUUGGAUUUACCGAC
rnacentral:pre_miRNA from 1 species